AACCACUCGCGCCUGGCGUGGUAUUGGGGCACGCGGUCUCCGCGGCCCUCAAAAUUAGUGGCGGCGCCGGUGGGCUCUAAGCGUAGUACAUACUCCCGCUAUAGAGUUCCCCCGGUGGCUCGCCAGAACCCCCAAUUUUUUACA
rnacentral:misc_RNA from 2 species